GCGCACUGGCCCAACUGAUCUGACGUGCUUGCGCUGAAGUGACGAUCGAUUACCAGUGAGCGGCGGACGGGUGAGUAACACGUGGGCAACCUGCCCUGAAGCGGGGGAUAACAUUUGGAAACAGGUGCUAAUACCGCAUAACAACGAAAACCACAUGGUUUUCGUUUCAAAGAUGGUUUCGGCUAUCACUUCAGGAUGGGCCCGCGGUGCAUUAGCUUGUUGGUAGGGUAACGGCCUACCAAGGCAAUGAUGCAUAGCCGAGUUGAGAGACUGAUCGGCCACAAUGGAACUGAGACACGGUCCAUACUCCUACGGGAGGCAGCAGUAGGGAAUCUUCCACAAUGGGCGCAAGCCUGAUGGAGCGACACCGCGUGAGUGAAGAAGGGUUUCGGCUCGUAAAGCUCUGUUGUUGAAGAAGAACGUGCGUGAGAGCAACUGUUCACGCAGUGACGGUAUUCAACCAGAAAGUCACGGCUAACUACGUGCCAGCAGCCGCGGUAAUACGUAGGUGGCAAGCGUUAUCCGGAUUUAUUGGGCGUAAAGCGAGCGCAGGCGGUUGCUUAAGUCUGAUGUGAAAGCCUUCGGCUUAACCGAAGAAGUGCAUCGGAAACUGAGCGACUUGAGUGCAGAAGAGGGCAGUGGAACUCCAUGUGUAGCGGUGGAAUGCGUAGAUAUAUGGAAGAACACCAGUGGCGAAGGCGGCUGUCUGGUCUGCAACUGACGCUGAGGCUCGAAAGCAUGGGUAGCGAACAGGAUUAGAUACCCUGGUAGU
rnacentral:rRNA from 1 species